CCUACGGGAGGCAGCAGUGGGGAAUAUUGCACAAUGGGGGAAACCCUGAUGCAGUGACGCCGCGUGAGUGAAGAAGUAAUUCGUUAUGUAAAGCUCUAUCAGCAGGGAAGAAAAUGACGGUACCUGAGUAAGAAGCCCCGGCUAACUACGUGCCAGCAGCCGCGGUAAUACGUAGGGGGCAAGCGUUAUCCGGUUUUACUGGGUGUAAAGGGAGCGUAGACGGGAGUGCAAGUCUGGAGUGAAAGGCGGGGGCCCAAACCCCGGACAGCUAUAGAAACUGUACGGCUGGAGUGCAGGAGAGGUAAGUGGAAUUCCUAGUGUAGCGGUGAAAUGCGUAGAUAUUAGGAGGAACACCAGUGGCGAAGGCGGCUUACUGGACUGUAACUGACGUUGAGGCUCGAAAGCGUGGGGAGCAAAUAGGAUUAGAUACCCGUGUAGUC
rnacentral:rRNA from 1 species